GUCUCUAAAUACAGUCACACUGGGUGUUGAGCCUUCAACAUGUGAAUUUUUGGAAGAACACCAACAUCCAAUUCAUAACACCAUUAAAAAGGAGGAGAAAAUAUUUUUAUUGGGCAGAGUACCCUGACUGCCUCUGGAUUUGAGUGCAUGAAGCAAGCAUCUGUGUCUGGGAGACCCAGUGAAAAUGAACUUAGGGCAACUACUGGCUGUCAGCAGGCAAGAAACAGAGGCCCCCAGUCCAGCAGGACAGAGAUCGCUGACUCCUGCUGACAACCAUGUGAAGCUGGGAGCAGAUCCCUCUCCAGUUGAGCUUUCAGAUGAGAUGCUGGAAACCUUGAUUGAAGCUUCAUGAGAGACCCUGAAGCAGAGGACGUGGGUCCUCUGUCCACGGGAUUUUCCAGACAAGAAUACUGGAGAGGGUUGCCAUUUCCUUUUCCAGGGGAUCUUCCUGACCCAGGAAUCCAACCUGCAUCUCCUGUUUGGUAGAGAGAUUCUUUACCACUGAGCCACCUGGGAAGCCCAUUGCUUUUCAUUCUA